AUUGAACGCUGGCGGCAGGCCUAACACAUGCAAGUCGAGCGGAGCGGCGGACGGGUGAGUAAUGCCUAGGAAUCUGCCUGGUAGUGGGGGAUAACGUCCGGAAACGGGCGCUAAUACCGCAUACUAUCAGAUGAGCCUAGGUCGGAUUAGCUAGUUGGUGGGGUAAAGGCCUACCAAGGCGACGAUCCGUAACUGGUCUGAGAGGAUGAUCAGUCACACUGGAACCGAGACCAGGUCCAGACUCCUACGGGGGGCAGGCGUGGGGAAUUUUGGACAAUGGGCGAAAGCCUUAUUCAGGCAGUCCGGGUGUUGUAAGAAGGUCUUCGGAUUGGAAAGCCCUUUAAGGUGGGAGGCCUUACCCGCAGAAGAAGCACCGGCUAACUCCGUGCCAGCAGCCGCGGUAAUAC
rnacentral:rRNA from 1 species